rnacentral:rRNA from 1 species
AGCAGCCGCGGUAAUUCCAGCUCCAAUAGCGUAUAUUAAAGUUGUUGCAGUUAAAAAGCUCGUAGUUGAAUUUCGGGAUUGACACAUCGGUCGUGCCUUAAGGGGUAUGAACUGGUGUAGUCAAUUUCUCACCUUCUGGAGAACCGCGAUGCCCUUAAUUGGGUGUCGCGGGGAACCAGGACCUUUACUUUGAAAAAUUAGAGUGUUUAAAGCAGGCAUUUUGCUUGAAUACAUUAGCAUGGAAUAAUAAAAUAGGACGGCAUGAUUCUAUUUUGUUGGUUUCUAGGAUCACCGUAAUGAUUAAUAGGGAUAGUUGGGGGCAUUAGUAUUCAAUUGUCAGAGGUGAAAUUCUUGGAUUUAUUGAAGACUAACUACUGCGAAAGCAUUUGCCAAGGAUGUUUUCAUUAAUCAAGAACGAAAGUUAGGGGAUCGAAGACGAUCAGAUACCGUCGUAG